AUAAAAGGAUACCUUCGGGUAUACCCCAUCCGUGUCUACAUACUCUUGUUGCUUGGCAGGCCGUGGUCUUCCACUGUGGCUCUGCCUGCAUGUGCCUGCCAGAGGACCAAACUCUGAAUGUUAGUGAUGUCUGAGUACUAUAUAAUAGUUA
rnacentral:misc_RNA from 1 species